rnacentral:rRNA from 2 species
AAUGGCACUGCCCGGUAGCUAAAUGCGGAAGAGAUAAGUGCUGAAAGCAUCUAAGCACGAAACUUGCCCCGAGAUGAGUUCUCCCUGACUCCUUGAGAGUCCUGAAGGAACGUUGAAGACGACGACGUUGAUAGGCCGGGUGUGUAAGCGCAGCGAUGCGUUGAGCUAACCGGUACUAAUGAACCGUGAGGCUUAACCUUACAACGCCGAAG